UACGGAGGAUGCAAGCGUUAUCCGGAUUUAUUGGGUUUAAAGGGUGCGUAGGCGGAUAUGUAAGUCAGCGGUGAAACUCACAGGCUCAACCUGUGCCGUGCCGUUGAAACUGUGUAUCUGGAAUGCGGAUGCUGUGGGAGGAAUGUGUAGUGUGGCGGUGAAAUGCAUAGAUAUUACACAGAACACCGAUUGCGAAGGCAUCUCACAAAGCCGUUAUUGACGCUGAGGCACGAAAGUGUGGGGAUCAAA
rnacentral:rRNA from 1 species